ACUCAAAGGAAUUGACGGGGGCUCACACAAGCGGUGGAGGAUGUGGCUUAAUUCGAGGCUACGCGAAGAACCUUAUCCUAGUCUUGACAUGCAUGGAUUAACUCCGUGAAAGCGGAGCCACACUCUUUGAGUGGAACAUGCACAGGUGCUGCAUGGCUGUCGUCAGCUCGUGUCGUGAGAUGUCGGGUUAAGUCCCUUAACGAGCGAAACCCUUGUCGCUAGUUGCCAGCGAGUAAUGUCGGGGACUCUAGCGAGACCGCCGGCGUUAAGCCGGAGGAAGGCGGGGAUGACGUCAAGUCCUCAUGGCCUUUAUGACUAGGGCUGCACACGUCCUACAAUGGCGCGCACAAAGGGAAGCGAACCCGCGAGGGCAAGCAAAUCCCAAAAAUCGCGCCUCAGUUCGGAUUGCAGGCUGCAACUCGCCUGCAUGAAGCCGGAAUCGCUAGUAAUCGCGGGUCAGCAUACCGCGGUGAAUGUGUUCCUGAGCCUUGCACACACCGCCCGU
rnacentral:rRNA from 1 species